rnacentral:rRNA from 1 species
AGUGAACGCUGGCGGCGGGCCUAAUACAUGCAAGUCGAGCGGAGCGGCGGACGGGGGAGUAAUGCCUAGGAAUCUGCCUGGUAGCGGGGGAUAACGACCGGAAAAGGGCGCUACUACCGCAUACUAUCAUAUGAGCCUAGGAUGGAGUAUCUAGUUGGUGGGGUAAAGGCCUACCAAGGCGACGAUCCGUAACUGGUCUGAGAGGAUGAUCAGUCACACUGGAACUGGGACACGGUCCAAACUCCGACGUGAGGCAGCAGUGGGGAAUAUUGGACAAGGGGCGAAAGCCUGAUCCAGCCAUGCCGCGUGUGUGAAGAAGGUCUUCGGAUUGUAAAGCACUUUAAGUUGGGAGGCGUUACCAACAGAAUAAGCACCGGCUAACUUCGUGCCAGCAGCCGCGGUAAUUC